rnacentral:rRNA from 1 species
UUAUCGGAGAGUUUGAUCCUGGCUCAGGACGAACGCUGGCGGCGUGCCUAAUACAUGCAAGUCGAGCGGACAGAUGGGAGCUUGCUCCCUGAUGUUAGCGGCGGACGGGUGAGUAACACGUGGGUAACCUGCCUGUAAGACUGGGAUAACUCCGGGAAACCGGGGCUAAUACCGGAUGGUUGUUUGAACCGCAUGGUUCAAACAUAAAAGGUGGCUUCGGCUACCACUUACAGAUGGACCCGCGGCGCAUUAGCUAGUUGGUGAGGUAAUGGCUCACCAAGGCAACGAUGCGUAGCCGACCUGAGAGGGUGAUCGGCCACACUGGGACUGAGACACGGCCCAGACUCCUACGGGAGGCAGCAGUAGGGAAUCUUCCGCAAUGGACGAAAGUCUGACGGAGCAACGCCGCGUGAGUGAUGAAGGUUUUCGGAUCGUAAAGCUCUGUUGUUAGGGAAGAACAAGUACCGUUCGAAUAGGGCGGUACCUUGACGGUACCUAACCAGAAAGCCACGGCUAACUACGUGCCAGCAGCCGCGGUAAUACGUAGGUGGCAAGCGUUGUCCGGAAUUAUUGGGCGUAAAGGGCUCGCAGGCGGUUUCUUAAGUCUGAUGUGAAAGCCCCCGGCUCAACCGGGGAGGGUCAUUGGAAACUGGGGAACUUGAGUGCAGAAGAGGAGAGUGGAAUUCCACGUGUAGCGGUGAAAUGCGUAGAGAUGUGGAGGAACACCAGUGGCGAAGGCGACUCUCUGGUCUGUAACUGACGCUGAGGAGCGAAAGCGUGGGGAGCGAACAGGAUUAGAUACCCUGGUAGUCCACGCCGUAAACGAUGAGUGCUAAGUGUUAGGGGGUUUCCGCCCCUUAGUGCUGCAGCUAACGCAUUAAGCACUCCGCCUGGGGAGUACGGUCGCAAGACUGAAACUCAAAGGAAUUGACGGGGGCCCGCACAAGCGGUGGAGCAUGUGGUUUAAUUCGAAGCAACGCGAAGAACCUUACCAGGUCUUGACAUCCUCUGACAAUCCUAGAGAUAGGACGUCCCCUUCGGGGGCAGAGUGACAGGUGGUGCAUGGUUGUCGUCAGCUCGUGUCGUGAGAUGUUGGGUUAAGUCCCGCAACGAGCGCAACCCUUGAUCUUAGUUGCCAGCAUUCAGUUGGGCACUCUAAGGUGACUGCCGGUGACAAACCGGAGGAAGGUGGGGAUGACGUCAAAUCAUCAUGCCCCUUAUGACCUGGGCUACACACGUGCUACAAUGGACAGAACAAAGGGUAGCGAAACCGCGAGGUUAAGCCAAUCCCACAAAUCUGUUCUCAGUUCGGAUCGCAGUCUGCAACUCGACUGCGUGAAGCUGGAAUCGCUAGUAAUCGCGGAUCAGCAUGUCGCGGUGAAUACGUUCCCGGGCCUUGUACACACCGCCCGUCACACCACGAGAGUUUGUAACACCCGAAGUCGGUGAGGUAACCUUUUAGGAGCCAGCCGCCGAAGGUGGGACAGAUGAUUGGGGUGAAGUCGUAACAAGGUAGCCGUAUCGGAAGGUGCGGCUGGAUCACCUCCUUUCUA